CGAGCGAGGACGGAGAUGGACGAGCGUGAGGAGGCCGGUGAAGCGCGGCGCGGCCUGUGGCUCGUCCCUCAGAGCGCCUUUGCACCCCUGGAAUGCAGAACCUUUACUUGGUGCCACAGAACGGGCUCUGGGGAUCCCCAGGUUCAGCCACGACAUCACAAAAUCGCAGGAUCAUGUGGGUUGAGAAAGACCUCCCAGAUCAUCGGGUCCAACCUGUGAGCACCUUGUCAAUGGGCCAGAGCGCUGAGUGCCACGUCCACCUCCGGGCAUGGGGACUGCCAGCUCCCUGGGCAGCCCCUUCCAAUGUUUAACAACCCAUUCUGUGAAGAAAUUGCUCGUGAUGUCCUCAUAUCCAGGAGUAAAACUGGCCUACCGGGUUAUAACUCCUCCCGGGGAUGAAAGCUGGCUCCAUCUGUCUCUCCCAUUCCCCGGGCCACAGAACUGACAU